rnacentral:rRNA from 1 species
UAAGCGGAGGAAAAGAAACUAACAAGGAUUCCCCUAGUAGCGGCGAGCGAAGCGGGAAGAGCUCAAAUUUGUAAUCUGGCGCUUUCAGCGUCCGAGUUGUAAUCUCUAGAAGUGUUUUCCGCGUUGGACCGCACACAAGUCUGUUGGAAUACAGCGGCACAGUGGUGAGACCCCCGUUCAUGGUGCGGAUGCCCAAUGCUUUGUGAUACACUUUCGAAGAGUCGAGUUGUUUGGGAAUGCAGCUCAAAUUGGGUGGUAAAUUCCAUCUAAAGCUAAAUAUUGGCGAGAGACCGAUAGCGAACAAGUACCGUGAGGGAAAGAUGAAAAGCACUUUGGAAAGAGAGUUAACAGUACGUGAAAUUGUUGGAAGGGAAACGCUUGAAGUCAGACUUGCUGUUCGGAGUUCAGCCGCAAGGUGUACUCUCCGAGUUGCAGGCCAGCAUCAGUUUUCUGGGGUGGAAAAUCACGGUUUGAAGGUAGCAGUUUCGGCUGUGUUAUAGCUUUCCGUAGGAUACACCCUGGGGGACUGAGGAACGCAGUGGCCUUUAGCGGGGGUUUCGACCUCUUCACACUUAGGAUGCUGGUGGAAUGGCUUUAAACGACCCGUCUUGAAACACG